rnacentral:lncRNA from 1 species
GGAUACAAGCCCUGAGAGGAAAGAUUCUGGAAGAAGAAGAGGAUCUUGGGAUUUGACUGGUUUUAACUGUCACUUUGGAUCUGACUUUCGACUGAGCUGGAAGGAGGAUCUUUGCUCUGGCAUUUCCCUGGAAAUCCUGAUCUUGUGGAAAGAUUUGGAUAUUCCUGGGUGGGAGCUCUGCCUUGGAGGAAACCUGCUUUUCCCUCGGGUAUUGAGAUUCACCUGUAUGACAGCUACCAGCCAAAGACAACUUGGCUAAGCAGAAACACACCAGGUGUCUUCUAUGGACAAGAAGGGGGAAUUUGGCAUGUUUGCCUUUUUUACCUACAUUUCCAAAAAAUGACAAGGAUCAGCCUUUUUUUUUCCCCUCCAGUCCAUGGUAUUGAUUAAGGUAAUAAAUAUAUCUUCUUGAAAUUGAAAUUGAAGU